AGUGAACGCUGGCGGUAGGCCUAACACAUGCAAGUCGAACGGCAGCACAGUAAGAGCUUGCUCUUACGGGUGGCGAGUGGCGGACGGGUGAGGAAUACAUCGGAAUCUACUUUUUCGUGGGGGAUAACGUAGGGAAACUUACGCUAAUACCGCAUACGACCUACGGGUGGAAGCAGGGGAUCUUCGGACCUUGCGCGAUUGAAUGAGCCGAUGUCGGAUUAGCUAGUUGGCGGGGUAAAGGCCCACCAAGGCGACGAUCCGUAGCUGGUCUGAGGGGAUGAUCAGCCACACUGGAACUGAGACACGGUCCAGACUCCUACGGGAGGCAGCAGUGGGGAAUAUUGGACAAUGGGCGCAAGCCUGAUCCAGCCAUACCGCGUGGGUGAAGAAGGCCUUCGGGUUGUAAAGCCCUUUUGUUGGGAAAGAAAAGCAGCAGGUUAAUACCCCGCUGUUCUGACGGUACCCAAAGAAUAAGCACCGGCUAACUUCGUG
rnacentral:rRNA from 1 species